AUUGAACGCUGGCGGCAGGCCUAACACAUGCAAGUCGAACGAGUGGCGGACGGGUGAGUAAUGUCUGGGAAACUGCCCGAUGGAGGGGGAUAACUACUGGAAACGGUAGCUAAACCCCAUAACCACCGGAUUGGCCCAGAUGGGAUUAGCUAGUAGGUGGGGUAACGGCUCACCAAGGCGACGAUCCCUAGCUGGUCUGAGAGGAUGACCAGCCACACUGGAACUGAGACACGGUCCAGACUCCUACGGGAGGCAGCAGUGGGGAAUAUUGCACAAUGGGCGCAAGCCUGAUGCAGCCAUGCCGCGUGUGUGAAGAAGGCCUUCGGGUUGUAAAGCACUUUCAGCGGGGAGGCGUUACCCGCAGAAGAAGCACCGGCUAACUCCGUGCCAGCAGCCGCGGUAAUAC
rnacentral:rRNA from 1 species